rnacentral:lncRNA from 1 species
UGUUGUGUGUGUGUUGUCCAUGUAGAGUGUGUGUAUGCCCUCCAACCUGUGCAGUUUGCAUGUGUGUAGCUGUCCAUGUUCUCUUUUGCAUGUGUCGUGCCUUCUUUUUCUAGCUGUGCAUUUCCACUUGCUCCAAAGCCAAAUGAGUGCAAUCAUAACCCCAUUUGCUGCUGAGUGUUGAUGACAAAGCAAAACACAAAACAAGUGCCUUUACUUUCUCAUUUUAUUAGCCAAAUCUGCUUAGCCCUUUUCUGAACCUUUCAGUGUUACAAUGCCCAUAAACAAUCCGUAAAUUGUUCCAGAAAAUAGACAUCCGUAGCUUUCCAAGAAUAUAAGUCUCAUUCUCUCAUUCAUUCUGAGUUGUUCGUAACAUGCUUCCAAAGUCAGCUAAUCUGCACAGGCAGUUUUGACGAAUUUGUUACUCAAUAUCUCACUUGUGCUACUUUUCUUUUCUUUGCUUGAUAAAUCACAAAAAACACAAAAACAUAGUAAAUAGCUCAAAAAUAUAAGGAACUAACUAAGAAAGACAAGUGAAUUUUAUGUAAAAUAUAUAUAAAUAUGAGCUUAUCAAAUACCCCCACACUUAACUUUUGCUAGUCCUCGAGCAAAUAAAGAAAACAAAACGCAACCUAAACCUUCCAACGUUUGCCUCAGGGAUUUCCAACGCACAUGACAAGUUAAAAAUCAUCAUUCCCACAGAUUUUAGUCAACUUAACACUUGAGCACAUACUUAAUCACAGUCACCACUUACUAGUUCACAUUUAACCAAUUAAAACGAUGUUUUGAAUGUAGUAACAUGCCUUAGAGAAUUUGCUCAAUUCCUUACAAGAAAUGCACUCAAUUUUCACUCAGAUUUUCUGACUACACACCCUACACUAGGUACAUGUGAGAAGAUUGAUGUAAACAUUAAAACUAGUACUCACAUAUAUGUAUAACAAGAAAGCAUUUUCUGGUAUUAAUAAGCAUGUUUAGAUAUGAUCUCAUGAAUGAAAUGCUACUACUUAGAUGCGAGAACCAGUGACACCAUAUGCUCAUACCAAAUUCAAACUCCACAAAUUGAAACACAUAAAACUCAAGAUAGAAGUCAAGGGUUGUAACGGGGCUUGGGGUAUUGGCUAAUAAAAAAAGGAUAGGAAUAACAAAUGGUCUUAAAGCAAUAGCAAGCAAAGCAAUGAAAUAGACACUUUGGAAUUCACUUUAGAAUGCAGAAUCAACUUUUAAAUACAAAGGGAAGAUUCAUGCAACACUUAGGGCUCUUUUUCACAACUUUUCUUCUUUUCAUUCUAUUUUCCAUGAAUGUUUUUUUUUUCUUUUUCUUUUCUACCCGUGCCUUAUUAAGGACUUUGGCACACACACACACACAAGAAUCACUUCCCCCACA